rnacentral:rRNA from 1 species
UACAGAGGUUCCAAGCGUUGUUCGGAUUCACUGGGCGUAAAGGGCGCGUAGGCGGUGAGGUAAGUCGGAUGUGAAAUCUCGGAGCUCAACUCCGAAAUGGCAUUGGAAACUACCUUGCUCGAGGGAUGGAGGGGGGACUGGAAUUCUCGGUGUAGCAGUGAAAUGCGUAGAUAUCGAGAGGAACACCAGUGGCGAAGGCGAGUCCCUGGACAUCUCCUGACACUGAGGCACGAAAGCUAGGGGAGCAAACAGG